rnacentral:rRNA from 1 species
ACGAACGCUGGCGGCGUGCCUAAUCCAUGCAAGUAGAACGCUGAAGGAGGAGCUUGCUUCUCUGGAUGAGUUGCGAACGGGUGAGUAACGCGUAGGUAACCUGCCUGGUAGCGGGGGAUAACUAUUGGAAACGAUAGCUAAUACCGCAUAAGAGUAGAUGUUGCAUGACAUUUGCUUAAAAGGUGCAAUUGCAUCACUACCAGAUGGACCUGCGUUGUAUUAGCUAGUUGGUGAGGUAACGGCUCACCAAGGCAACGAUACAUAGCCGACCUGAGAGGGUGAUCGGCCACACUGGGACUGAGACACGGCCCAGACUCCUACGGGAGGCAGCAGUAGGGAAUCUUCGGCAAUGGACGGAAGUCUGACCGAGCAACGCCGCGUGAGUGAAGAAGGUUUUCGGAUCGUAAAGCUCUGUUGUAAGAGAAGAACGAGUGUGAGAGUGGAAAGUUCACACUGUGACGGUAUCUUACCAGAAAGGGACGGCUAACUACGU